rfam:Colletotrichum tofieldiae strain 0861 Ct_v4_contig22, whole genome shotgun sequence.
GCCUUGUUGGCUAAGUGGUAUAGCGUCUCACUAGUAUUCUAGUGUCAUGAGAAGAUCGGCGGUUCGAUUCCGCCACGAGGCA